AUACGUAGGGUGCGAGCGUUGUCCGGAAUUACUGGGCGUAAAGAGCUCGUAGGUGGUUUGUCGCGUCGUCUGUGAAAUUCCGGGGCUUAACUCCGGGCGUGCUGGCGAUACGGGCAUAACUUGAGUACUGUAGGGGAGACUGGAAUUCUUGGUGUAGCGGUGAAAUGCGCAGAUAUCAGGAGGAACACCGGUGGCGAAGGCGGGUCUCUGGGCAGUAACUGACGCUGAGGAGCGAAAGCAUGGGUAGCGAACAGGAUUAGAUACCCUGGUAGUCCAUGCCGUAAACGGUGGGCGCUAGGUGUAGGGGUCUUCCACGACUUCUGUGCCGUAGCUAACGCAUUAAGCGCCCCGCCUGGGGAGUACGGCCGCAAGGCUAAAACUCAAAGGAAUUGACGGGG
rnacentral:rRNA from 1 species